UAAGUAUUUCCAUGCAU
rnacentral:miRNA from 1 species